CCCUAACCUGUGAACCUCCCAUUCCUGUCCUGACCCUGCCAUGGGCUCCAGGCUCCUCUGCUGGGUGACCCUCUGUCUCCUGGGGACAGGUCACACAGAUACUGAAGUCUCCCAGUCCCCCAGGCACAGGGUCACAGAGAGGGGCCAGGAUGUAUCUCUCAGCUGUGAUCCAAUUUCCGGUCAUACUGCCCUGUACUGGUACCGACAGACCCUGGGGCAGGGCCCAGAGUUUUUGAUGUACUUCCAAAACGAGAAAGCCGUGGACACAUCAGGGAUGCCUGAUGAUCGGUUCUCUGCUGAGAAGACACAGGGCUCGUCCUUCACCCUGAAGAUCCGGCGUGCAGAGCAGAGGGACUCGGCCGUGUAUCUCUGUGCCAGCAGCUUAGCCACAGCAUGGCACUGUCACCUCCUUCCUGCUCACAAACACUCAUGUGCUCACCUCUCCUCCUAGUUCCCAGAACCCCCAGAGGAGUUGCCCUGUUCUUCCUGAGUCAAGGGGUCUAAGAGCCCUUGGGACUCCUACUGUUCUUCUGACAGUGUGAGCUCAGGAAAGAACCUUUGAAA